UACGUAGGGGGCAAGCGUUGUCCGGAUUUAUUGGGCGUAAAGAGCGUGUAGGCGGCUUUACAGGUCCGUUGUGAAAACUCGAGGCUCAACCUCGAGACGCCGGUGGAAACCGUAAGGCUAGAGUCCGGAAGAGGAGAGUGGAAUUCCUGGUGUAGCGGUGAAAUGCGCAGAUGUCAGGAGGAACACCCGUGGCGAAAGCGGCUCUCUGGGACGGUACUGACGCUGAGACGCGAAGGCGUGGGGAGCGAACAGG
rnacentral:rRNA from 1 species